GAGCACGUGGCUUCUAAGUGCGAAUAUAUAAAGCGACGGUAAGAGCUAUUGUCACCACAAGACUCGCCGUCUUCGUCGCAUCUGCUUUGUUUACAUCCAUUAUAGAGCGCUCUAGUCGAGGACAUGGACGGCUUGCUUGGAAAGUACCUCCUCUUGCUGGUUGCUGCCGCACUCGUUACGCUGAUUAUUGCUCCACACGAAGCUGGCGCAAUUCCACCGAUGGCCUUCGAGCUCAUCCGACAGGGCCCUGUUGGACGAAAUGAAGAAAAUGCCAAGUACUGACACAUCAGUCUUCGUGAUACAGUGCGGUCAGUCUGUGCUGAAUUGACGAUGCCGGCUUCAUAUUCAAUAAAAUGAAUAAAGCAAGAAAUGGUCUGGAGUGAAUACAUACCUGCGCAUUACUGGAGAGAAACUUUCUUCUUUGUGCCAAAUGUCACAUUUUCUUUAUUUCAUUUCGUGUACUCUUUCAAAGGUACUGCUAAGCACGCGCUUCUUUCACUGUUUCUCCGAGACAUUG